CCUACGGGAGACAGCAGUGAGGAAUAUUGGUCAAUGGACGAGAGUCUGACCCAGCCAAGCAGCGUGAAGGAUGACUGCCCUAUGGGUUGUAAACUUCUUUUAUAAAGGAAUAAAACGAGGCACGUGUGCCUUUUUGCAUGUACUCUAUCAACAAGGAUCGGCUAACUCCGUGCCAGCAGCCGCGGUAAUACGGAGGAUGCGAGCGUUAUACGGAUUGACUGGGUGUAAAGGGAGCGUAGAUGGGUUGUUAAGUCAGUUGUGAAAGUUUGUGGCUCAACCGUGAAAUUGCAAUUGAAACUGGCAGUCUUGAGUGCAGGUGAGGUAAGCGGAAUUCGUGGUGUAGCGGUGAAAUGCUUAGAUAUCACGAAGAACCCCGAUUGCGAAGGCGACUUACUAAACUGUGACUGACAUUGAGGCUCGAAAGUGUGGGUAGCAAACAGGAUUAGAUACCCUUGUAGUC
rnacentral:rRNA from 1 species